UACGGAGGGUGCAAGCGUUGUUCGGAUUUACUGGGCGUAAAGCGCGCGCAGGUGGGUGAACAAGUCGGAAGUGAAAUCUUGAGGCUCAACCUCGAGGCUGCUCCCGAAACUGUUCGCCUAGGGACUGGUAGAGGCUGGUAGAAUUCCCGGUGUAGCGGUGGAAUGCGUAGAGAUCGGGAAGAAUACCCGUGGCGAAGGCGGCCAGCUGGGCCAGGUCCGACACUGAGGCGCGAAAGCGUGGGGAGCAAACAGG
rnacentral:rRNA from 1 species